rnacentral:rRNA from 1 species
GACGAACGCUGGCGGCGUGCUUAACACAUGCAAGUCGAACGGAAAGGCCCUGCUUUUGUGGGGUGCUCGAGUGGCGAACGGGUGAGUAACACGUGAGUAACCUGCCCUUGACUUUGGGAUAACUUCUGGAAACUGGGGCUAAUACCGGAUAGGAGCUCCUGCUGCAUGGUGGGGGUUGGAAAGUUUCGGCGGUUUGGGAUGGUCGGGCGGCUUAUGAGCUUGUUAGUGGGGUAGUGGCUUACCAAGGCUUUGACGGGUAGCCGGCCUGGGAGGGUGACCGGCGGCAAUGGGACUGCGGGAGGGAGCAGACGGCUACCGUAGGCAACAGGCGGGAGUCUGGCGGAGUGGGGGGGAGUCUGAGGCGGCGGUCUCGGGUGCGGGAUACCGGGCUUCGGGGUGAAAACCACUUUCGCCGGAAACGAGCCCGGCGUGACGGUACUUGGUCAAGAAGCCACGGCUAACUACGUG